GGUUCCAUAGGGUAGCGGUUAGCAUGUCUGCUUUACACACAGAAGGCCUUGGUUCACACCCCAGUGGAGCCG
rnacentral:tRNA from 1 species